CUACGGGAUGCAGCAGUGGGGAAUAUUGGACAAUGGGGGCAACCCUGAUCCAGCCAUGCCGCGUGUGUGAAGAAGGCCUUUUGGUUGUAAAGCACUUUAAGCAGUGAAGAAGACCAUAUGGUUAAUACCCAUAUGCGAUGACAUUAGCUGCAGAAUAAGCACCGGCUAACUCUGUGCCAGCAGCCGCGGUAAUACAGAGGGUGCAAGCGUUAAUCGGAAUUACUGGGCGUAAAGCGAGCGUAGGUGGCUUGAUAAGUCAGAUGUGAAAUCCCCGGGCUUAACCUGGGAACUGCAUCUGAUACUGUUAAGCUAGAGUAGGUGAGAGGGAAGUAGAAUUCCAGGUGUAGCGGUGAAAUGCGUAGAGAUCUGGAGGAAUACCGAUGGCGAAGGCAGCUUCCUGGCAUCAUACUGACACUGAGGUUCGAAAGCGUGGGUAGCAAACAGGAUUAGAUACCCGUGUAGUC
rnacentral:rRNA from 1 species